rnacentral:rRNA from 1 species
GACGAACGCUGGCGGCGUGCCUAAUACAUGCAAGUAGAACGCACAGUUUAUACCGUAGCUUGCUACACCAUAGACUGUGAGUUGCGAACGGGUGAGUAACGCGUAGGUAACCUGCCUGGUAGCGGGGGAUAACUAUUGGAAACGAUAGCUAAUACCGCAUAAUAUUAAUUAUUGCAUGAUAAUUAAUUGAAAGGUGCAGUUGCACCACUACCAGAUGGACCUGCGUUGUAUUAGCUAGUAGGUGAGGUAACGGCUCACCUAGGCGACGAUACAUAGCCGACCUGAGAGGGUGAUCGGCCACACUGGGACUGAGACACGGCCCAGACUCCUACGGGAGGCAGCAGUAGGGAAUCUUCGGCAAUGGACGAAAGUCUGACCGAGCAACGCCGCGUGAGUGAAGAAGGGUGUCGGAUCGUAAAGCUCUGUUGUAAGAGAAGAACGGGUGUGAGAGUGGAAAGUUCACACUGUGACGGUAUCUGACCAGAAAGGGACGGCUAACUACGUG